GAUGAACGCUGGCGGCGUGCCUAAUACAUGCAAGUCGAGCGAACAGACGAGGAGCUUGCUCCUCUGACGUUAGCGGCGGACGGGUGAGUAACACGUGGAUAACCUACCUAUAAGACUGGGAUAACUUCGGGAAACCGGAGCUAAUACCGGAUAAUAUAUUGAACCGCAUGGUUCAAUAGUGAAAGUCGGUUUUGCUGUCACUUAUAGAUGGAUCCGCGCCGCAUUAGCUAGUUGGUAAGGUAACGGCUUACCAAGGCAACGAUGCGUAGCCGACCUGAGAGGGUGAUCGGCCACACUGGAACUGAGACACGGUCCAGACUCCUACGGGAGGCAGCAGUAGGGACUCUUCCGCAAUGGGCGAAAGCCUGACGGAGCAACGCCGCGUGAGUGAUGAAGGUCUUCGGAUCGUAAAACUCUGUUAUUAGUGAAGAACAAAUGUGUAAGUAACUAUGCACGUCUUGACGGUACCUAAUCAGAAAGCCCCGGCUAACUACGUG
rnacentral:rRNA from 1 species